GUCCUUGCCGUAAACGAUGUAUACUUGAUGUAGCUGGAAUCAACCCUAGUUGUGUCGUAGCUAACGCGAUAAGUAUACCGCCUGGGGAGUACGCUCGCAAGGGUGAAACUCAAAAGAAUUGACGGGGACCCGCACAAGCAGUGGAGCAUGUGGUUUAAUUCGAUACAACGCGAAGAACCUUACCCAGACUUGACAUGCAGAGGAAUAUAGUGGAGACAUUAUAGCCCGCAAGGGUCUUUGCACAGGUGCUGCAUGGCUGUCGU
rnacentral:rRNA from 1 species